CAAAGCGUAGCUUAUAUAAAGCACCUGGCUUACACCCAGGAGAUGCCACACAAUAAUGGCCACUUUGA
rnacentral:tRNA from 1 species